CAUGUGCUUUUUGCUGCUUUGUGAAAUACCAAAAACGUGAAUCACAAGAAAAAUAACCAAAAGAUAAAAAGGGGAUACGUAUUACCCUUAUUUCAAUUUUUGUCAAAAUCCCAUAUUUAAAGGUGAUAUGAGCUAUAGCUCAUUUUCCACUGUACAUUUGAGAUUCAACAAUUUAGCAUGGCAAGGGUCUUUUCCUCCAACUAUGGCUCCGCA
rnacentral:lncRNA from 1 species